AUUCACUAAUAAACUAAUAGGUAGCGCGCCAGACUUCUAAUCUGGAGGCUGUGGGUUCGAGCCCCACAGGGAAUG